GAUGAACGCUGGCGGCGUGCCUAACACAUGCAAGUCGAACGGAGUCCAGCCUUUAAGACCUUCGGGUCAAAGAGGGGAAGACUGAGUGGCGGACGGGUGAGUAACACGUGGGCAACCUGGCUCAUAGAGGGGGAUAACAGAGAGAAAUUUCUGCUAAUACCGCAUAAGCACACACUGCCGCAUGGCAGAGGGUGAAAAGAGAAUCGCUAUGAGAUGGACCCGCGUCUGAUUAGCCAGUUGGCAGGGUAAGAGCCUACCAAAGCGACGAUCAGUAGCCGAUCUGAGAGGAUGAACGGCCACAGUGGGACUGAGACACGGCCCAAACUCCUACGGGAGGCAGCAGUGGGGGAUAUUGCACAAUGGGGGGAACCCUGAUGCAGCGACGCCGCGUGAGUGAAGAAGUAUUUCGGUAUGUAAAGCUCUAUCAGCAGGGAAGAUAAUGUCAGUACCUGAAGAAGAAGCCCCGGCUAACUACGUG
rnacentral:rRNA from 1 species